rnacentral:rRNA from 1 species
CUUGUAGGUGGCCAACUAAGUCGGACGUGAAAUCCCUCGGCUUAACCGGGGAACUGCGUCUGAUACUGGAUGGCUAGAGUUUGGGAGAGGGAUGCGGAAUUCCAGGUGUAGCGGUGAAAUGCGUAGAUAUCUGGAGGAACACCGGUGGCGAAGGCGGCAUCCUGGACCAACACUGACACUGAAAAGCGAAAGCCAGGGGAGCAAACG